rnacentral:miRNA from 1 species
UCCUAACGGGUUGUUAUGGCC